rnacentral:rRNA from 1 species
GACGAACGCUGGCGGCGUGCUUAACACAUGCGAGUCGAACGAUGAAGCCCAGCUUGCUGGGUGGAAGAGUGGCGAACGGGUGAGUAACACGUGAGUAACCUGCCCUGAACUCUGGGAUAAGCACUGGAAACGGUGUCUAAUACUGGAUACGACCUAUCACCGCAUGGUGUGUGGGUGGAAAGAUUUAUCGGUUCUGGAUGGACUCGCGGCCUAUCAGCUAGAUGGUGAGGUAAUGGCUCACCAUGGCGACGACGGGUAGCCGGCCCGGGAGGGGGACCGGCCACCCUGGGCCUGCGACACGGCCCAGACUCCUACGGGAGGCAGCAGUGGGGAAUAUUGCACAAUGGGCGCAAGCCUGAUGCAGCAACGCCGCGUGAGGGAUGACGGCCUUCGGGUUGUAAACCUCUUUUAGUAGGGAAGAAGCGAAAGUGACGGUACCUGCAGAAAAAGCACCGGCUAACUACGUG